UUUAUAUGUGCUUGAUCCUAUCUCAUUGCCUCUUAGUUGGAGAAGAGUUGUAUCUUGCCAACAAGUUGACAACAAAAGUCAUGUCAACUCGUGUACGAUUUACAAGAUACAUAAGGGCAAUUAUUGGAAUUAGGUAUGAAACUUCAAGUUCAAGGACUUCUUCCCCAAUCUCUUGAGGUCAAAAUAGAUCUUUAUCAACUUUUAAAAAUCGAUCAACCAUCGGAGUAAUCAAAAGGGUGAGCUUUAUCCAUAUGAAAACGCCUAAGAUCUUUUUAGUAAAUGUGGAUUGAUGAAUAAGAAUUCCAGAUGCUAAGGGCUCCACUUUUAUUCCCAGACAAAAUUGCAUUUUCUAAGAUCUUUCAUUUAAAAUUCAUCCUUUAAAUAGGUAGCAGUUCUUGUGAGUUCUUCAAGAAUACCUACAAGAUUCAAAUCCUCACAUAUACAACAAUAAUGGUAAAUCCAUUUUGUGCUUUCUUAACAAAAACACAUGUACCCACAUAAUGAACGUUAUAACUUGAAUGAAUAUAUCAGACGAGACUUUUAUAAUUCAACCAUUUUCAAUCAUUCAGUAGUUCUCAUGUAAAUCUCACUGUGAAGUGAACUGUACAGGUAUAUACAACAUCCA
rnacentral:lncRNA from 1 species